rnacentral:rRNA from 1 species
UACGUAGGCAGCAAGCGUUGUUCGGAAUUACUGGGCGUAAAGAGUGUGUAGGCGGUGCUCCAAGUCUGGUGUGAAAUCUCCCGGCUUAACUGGGAGGGUGCAUUAGAGACUGGAAUGCUAGAGGAUGGGAGAGGUAAGCGGAAUUCCUGGUGUAGCGGUGAAAUGCGUAGAUAUCAGGAGGAACACCUGUGGUGUAGACAGCUUACUGGACCAUUUCUGACGCUGAGACACGAAAGCGUGGGUAGCAAACAGG